rnacentral:rRNA from 1 species
CGUCUGGUACGCGGAGGGACAUUGCUGGAACGCGCCCCAGGCGCACCCAGAAACCCUUUGUGAACUUAUACCUUACUGUUGCCUCGGCGCAUGCCGGCCCCCCCGGGGGCCCCUCGGAGACGAGGAGCAGGCACGCCGGCGGCCAAGUUAACUCUUGUUUUUACACUGAAACUCUGAGAAAAAAACACAAAUGAAUCAAAACUUUCAACAACGGAUCUCUUGGUUCUGGCAUCGAUGAAGAACGCAGCGAAAUGCGAUAAGUAAUGUGAAUUGCAGAAUUCAGUGAAUCAUCGAAUCUUUGAACGCACAUUGCGCCCUCUGGUAUUCCGGAGGGCAUGCCUGUUCGAGCGUCAUUUCAACCCUCAAGCAUUGCUUGGUGUUGGGGCACUGCUUUUACCCAAAAGCAGGCCCUGAAAUCUAGUGGCGAGCUCGCCAGGACCCCGAGCGCAGUAGUUAAACCCUCGCUCUGGAAGGCCCUGGCGGUGCCCUGCCGUUAAACCCCCAACUUCUGAAAAUUUGACCUCGGAUCAGGUAGGAAUACCCGCUGAACUUAAGCAUAUAAAA